GCAGGUAUCUUCCAGGCGGCCUCUGGAGUCAAAUCAAGACUUGAGGUACCCUGGGCAGGCUUGUAGCCACAGCUUGGAAGCGGCAGCACCGAAGCGCACACAUUGAGAACGUCUCAACGUCCACGUCCGACCGAGGAUGGAUUUUGUCUGCUUGUCUUCCAAAAGCUAAGUGUCGGGGCCAGUGGUUGGGAGAAGGGGAAAAGCCUUUACUAUCACAGGAGGCAAUCUGAUGUCAGCUUAGCGGAGAGGUCUGUAGUGGGACAGGCUCCCUGGAAGUAAAGGGAGAGGGUUUCUCCUCAGCCUCACCAGAGCCUUUGCCGGGCAGGGCAGUUCCUACCCAUCUCCACAUUCUCGUGAACUUUGCGUCAUCUGCCUUCCUCGACUUGAAGUCGUCACGGCUCUUUCCCCCGUGGAGCUUGCCUUCAGGUCCGGAGCUGUAGCCGCAGUCACCUGGCAGUCCGCUUCCUUCUCUAGGCUUGCUGAGCCUCUCGAGCAUCCUCCUAACUGCUUCGGCCCUAACUUCCUUUAAUGAGUUGCAUUUCAUCAUCACGUGCUGUUGUCAUAGGGCUUCCUUUCCCUUGGCCUCAUUGGCCUCUGGCUCGUCUUGUGCUAGGACUCUCGGGUCCCUAAAGGGAAAGUGCCAAGCAGUUGCAACUUGUCUCUGUGUUAUGUCAUCUGUGUCUAUGUUAUGGUGUGUGUGUCCAUUGUCUUCCACGGCAUAGGCCUUUGUUACAUCUCAAUGCUUUAUCGGCUCUCUUCUGUGCCAUGUUCUACUCACAUUCCUUGCCGGAUAUCCCUUAUUCCAGCAUCUUUACAUUUUUACUCUUUGAGACAGGAAUGUCUCACAGGGACAAGAUGUUCUCAUCCAUCUUCCUUCUCACUAUCAGCUUUGGUAGUGGGUUUUUUUCCAUUUUCUUGAACUUCUAGAGGGAGCAUCUUACACCCUCCUCACGUGACUGCAGUAGUUCUAUAGGUUCCAUCUUCUCAAAGGAUACAGGGCUCAAUAAGUAAUCUUCCAGAGAGUUUUCUUAAGUCGUGGUUUAUAUUGUAUGUUCCUAUGUUGGCUUAUAUUGUAUGUACUUACAUACAGUAUAAGUACGUACAGUAUAAGCCAGCAUAGGUACAUGCAAUGUAAGUGCAUCGCCUUAUAUUGUCUGUACUUACACUGCAUGUAAGCAUGUCGCCUUAUAUUGUGUGUACUUACACUCUGUGUACACUUGCACUGUAUGCGUCAGCUUAUAUUGUGUGUAGACUGUACCACUUAUGAUCGGAGCUGCCCUGCCCUGGCACAUAGUCACAGUUAGGUAGAACAGUUAUAACAACUUUACUGUUCAUCUGUCUUUUGUGGGAUUUUGGGUAGAAAAUUCAUCAGUCCAGAGUGGGGACAAGUCCUAGCUGUCAGAUAGCCACUUGUUGACCCUUCCUGUUGUCUCACAGGUCGCCGAGGCUGCUGAUUUCCCCAGGAUCUGCCAUUUAGCUCAAGGAGCGGCAGCCAGAAGAUGUGUCAAAGCACCUUCUUCAGCAUCUCAGAGAAGGGCCACAGUGAGCGUGUUUUGCAACUCAUUGUUAAAUUGAGAAUAAAAAAUCCCCAGCUGCCUUCCACCCUGGCUGCUUUUUUUUUUUUGGUCCCGGCCAAGUAAAAACCCAGAAAAAUACUCCAAGAUAGGCUAGAAAAGGCCCAAAAAACCCAGUAAAAAAACCCAAGAUGGGCAAGAAAAACCCAGAAAAAAGCAGAAAAAACCCCAAAAUGGGCAACAAAGAAACCCCACAAAAAUCCAGGAAAAAAACUGCAAGAUGGGGAAGAAAAAAAUCAAGAAAAAACCCAGAACAAUCCCAGGGAAAAAAUCUCAAGAGGGGCAAGAGCAAACCCGGGAAAAAAAGCUAAAAACCCCAAGAUGGGCAAG